UCAUAUUUUAAUCAACAAAAUCAGCUGAUAAUACGGCUUUAUUCCUCACGCCUACAGUGACCAUCUCCUAUCUCUUCUAUCUUUUCAAUUCAGAACACAGCAACAAUAAUGACCCCUCUCUCCUCUCCUCUCCUCUCUCUUUCUUUCUACUCUCUUCUCCUCCACCACCACCCUAGAAAACCAUAGCCGACAAACCUCCAACUACCACUGCACAACUAUCUGUUGCUCCGUAAAAAUCUGUGCAACAGUGAAAAUCAGCACAAAAUCGUGGAUAAGAGUUGGAAAAUCUUGCAAAUCCUAUCUCAAUUUUUUUUAAUUUUGGAUUCAAAUCCAAACUUUUGAGUCCAGAUUUAGCCUAUAAAUAUGGUGUUCUUCAACCCUAGACAACAAGUUAAAAAAUUGGGAGAAAGGGCAGUGGAGGAACAAGUGAUAACAGAGAAAAGGGAGGGUCUCAAAGUUUGAUAGAUUUCUUUCAAUAUUAGUCUAAAUUGGAAGUCCUCAGAUUCAAUUUUAUCAUCAGAAAUUCUUACACGUCAAGGCUCCAGUUUUGCUGCCCUAGAAAAGGAGUCGGAGUUACACAAUGAAACUCAUUUUUUGAUCCGAGAAUUGGGUCAACCGCCAUUCGGAUCACGAGAGCUUCUUAGUCGAGCAUAUUAGAAGACCAACUCAUAAAUGGAGUCUAGUAUCUCUUAGCUUGUUUGAAUUUAAUUUAUAGGAUGAUACUAAUUUUUGUAUUGAAUUUUCUUUUGUUUUUAAUAACUUUACUUAAUUAUUAAAUUUAUGUUAUCUUGUUA